GGCAAAUGGCGUUUAUUCACUACUAAACACAGCUUAUAUACAUUUUACCUAGAUAACCGUGCUGUCAUGUCCCACUCUGAUUAGUUCACACCAGAUAACAUUGUGCCUUAUUUGGCCAUUUCCACAUUCUUUUAUCAUCCUUCUUCUUCUCCUGUUUUCUCUGCAACAAGGUCAGCACGAUAGCACUAUCUCUCUAUGUUUAGGGAGAGGCCUGUCCCGUACAUCCCGUGCCCUCGCAAGACGCCUACUACAACAUCUCCCCCUCCCUAAGCUAAAUACUACUUACACACACACCUAACCCGUACAUCGCGAAGCAGCGCAAAACGCCUAAUCCUAAAUAUAUUUCAGCACACUAUUCCUACUAUUUUCUACUACAGUUCUUAAGCAAUCAUCAGAGCAACAGGGAAUUCUUUUCCGUGCUCGGCCAAGCCUUGCCCCGUUACAGCACGAACGCAACAACCUAAACCCCUCUAUAAUUUUUCACGCAAUCUAUGAUACUCAAUGUGAUAGUCAAAAGUCUUGUCCAUCAUUCGUUGAAGGCAGUUCUGCAAGCAUCCUACAAAGCAUGGAAGACAGAUUAGAAUACAUACAAAGAUUGCAAAUCCUACUGCGAGAGCUUUAAGCAAUUGCUUUAACCAUGAACCCGUUCCCCCAAACAGUCCGUCCAGCCAGCUUCCAAAGGGAUCACGCUCUUCUUUAAUUUUCUGCAUAUGUUCUUGCGUCCAUUGUAGUUGUUUGUGACACUCUGUAAUCGCCAUGGACACCAUAAAUAUCAGCAACAUCGGAAGUGUCAGCGUUGCAGGUGUAGUGCUCCUCUUGACGAGUGGUUCUUGAUCCCAUCAUCUGUCCCUCAGUUGUUCUGGAGUUGGCUUCGGUCUGCCAACGAAGAAUUUCUGUAGAAAACUCGCACCUAGACUCAGUUUUUGCAGAUAUGCUACUUAUAUCUGGUAUUACUUUUCGCGAUGGUACCCACAGAAUUUCCCAGAUUCAUGAUGUUUAACUGCUGCAUACCCGACCACGGAUACCCUUCAGCAAGCCCUUCCUGUGAUCAGGAGGCCCUGACUGGCCUCCCCCACAGGGGCAUUGUGCUCUAACAUGGCCAUACUGGCCGUAUCGGAAACACAGCCCUUGCUGCUGCAGCGAUCUUUGCUGUCGCAGGCCAACAGCUACGACAAUAGCUGUGACUAGCCUUUCAUUAGUUAAAUGAGCCACCUUGAGCUUAUCUAAGACAUACUGAAUAACUUCUCCCGAGGUAUUAAGCGUACUUCGGCCGGCUCGCAGCAAUGCCUUAACAUUGUCAUGCGAUUUCUGCUGCAAGCAGUCAAUGAUCACUGGCCCUUGGGCCGGUACCAGGAGAUCAGACCCCUCUGCAGCAGCUAAAAGCCUGUCUGUAAAGCUUUGAAAGGAUUCAUUCGGGCCCUGGGUAAUAUCUGUGCACGGAGUAGGUGGUUCGGCCUUAUGCACAAGUUUAUUAAACGCUUCCACCACUGCAUCUGUGGCUGCUAUUAGCUCCCCUGGCCUUAGUCUCGCUAGCUGGCCCUGGGGCGAAGCCACUCCCACGGCCUUCCCUGAAAGCCGCUGUAUUCCGGUCCCAUGCAGGGAGCGGUGCGGGCCGACCCCUGUCGCCCCGGCACGGCCCCCCAACUCGGCCAUCCAGUCCGUCUCCCAUAACGUAUACUGAACCAGCCUGAGCACCGUACGCAUUAAGUUUGUGAUGUCACGGGGGAAGAGAGGCCCCAGUGCAGCCAAAGUUUG
ensembl:lncRNA